rnacentral:rRNA from 1 species
AUUGAACGCUGGCGGCAUGCCUUACACAUGCAAGUCGAACGGUAACAGGUCUUCGGAUGCUGACGAGUGGCGAACGGGUGAGUAAUGCAUCGGAACGUGCCCAGUAGUGGGGGAUAACCCGGCGACAGCCGGAUUAAUACCGCAUACGACCUGAGGGUGAAAGGGGGGGCUCGCAAGACCUCUCGCUAUUGGAGCGGCCGAUGUCAGAUUAGCUAGUUGGUGGGGUAAAGGCCUACCAAGGCAACGAUCUGUAGUUGGGCUGAGAGGACGACCAGCCACACUGGGACUGAGACACGGCCCAGACUCCUACGGGAGGCAGCAGUGGGGAAUUUUGGACAAUGGGCGCAAGCCUGAUCCAGCAAUGCCGCGGGCAGGAAGAAGGCCUUCGGGUUGUAAACUGCUUUUGUCAGGGAAGAAAUCUUCUGGGUUAAUACCUCGGGAGGAUGACGGUACCUGAAGAAUAAGCACCGGCUAACUACGUGCCAGCCGCCGCAGUAAAAC